rnacentral:tRNA from 1 species
GGAAAAGUCGCUAAAGGUAGGGCAAAAUAUUUGCUAAAUAUUGUGUAUUUAACACUUGGAUGUUCAAUUCAUCUCUUUUCCG